AGUGACUGCUAGGGGCGCCAUUCGGCUGAGAUGAAUUAAUUCAGUCCCUUAACACCUGAUUUGGAUAAUGCCAACGUAGGAAAGUGGUCGAUGAACGUU
rfam:Staphylococcus aureus C0673 genomic scaffold aedLz-supercont1.11, whole genome shotgun sequence.